rnacentral:rRNA from 1 species
GAUGAACGCUAGCUACAGGCUUAACACAUGCAAGUCGAGGGGAAACGAUAUUGGAAGCUUGCUUCCGAUAGGCGUCGACCGGCGCACGGGUGAGUAACGCGUAUCCAACCUGCCCACCACUUGGGGAUAACCUUGCGAAAGUAAGACUAAUACCCAAUGAUAUCUCUAGAAGACAUCUGAAGGAGUUUAAAGAUUUAUCGGUGAUGGAUGGGGAUGCGUCUGAUUAGCUUGUUGGCGGGGUAGCGGCACACCAAGGCGACGAUCAGUAGGGGUUCUGAGAGGAAGGUCACCCACAUUGGAACUGAGACACGGUCCAAACGCCUAGGGGAGGCAGCAGUGAGGAAUAUUGGUCAAUGGGCGAGAGCCUGAACCAGCCAAGUAGCGUGCAGGAUGACGGCCCUAUGGGUUGUAAACUGCUUUUAUAAGGGAAUAAAGUGAGUCUCGUGAGACUUUUUGCAUGUACCUUAUGAAUAAGGACCGGCUAAUUCCGUGCCAGCCGCCGCCGUAA